UUUAUAUUCAACCUUUGACCAUUUUUUCUCUCAAAAAUACACACACACACACUAGAGAAAAUGAAGAGAGGCGGAAAGGCUGAGAAAGAAGAAAGAAAAAAAGAAAAGACGAAGAAAGAAAGGAAGAAGGGGGAAGUAAGUGUUGAUUUCUUCAUGUUUGGGUACAUUUGUUUCAUUUCUUCAUGAGAUUUAGAAGUGAAUGUUUUAUGGUAUUAUGAUGUUAAAUUUCUAGGGUUUGAUAGUUUGCUAAAUUUGUGGGUUAACUUUGUAGAUUUAGUGAAAGGAGUAUGAAUCCUUGUUUAAAGUGCUUGAUGGAUUAAUUUUUAGUUGAUCAAGGUAAGGAAUAUAAUUUUUGGCAAACCCUAGACUUCUAUUUGGGAUUAUUGAUUAAGUAUUGUUGGUUGGAAUGAUUAUAUUGAUGGAUUACUCACAUGAAAGCAUGAAGUUGAGAAACAAGAUGAAAGUUUAAAUGGGUGGAAUCAUGGUUACUAGUUUGCAUUAGAUUGGAAAGUAUAAUUAUUUUUAUGAAUGGGAUGAAGGUAAUUUUGGAUAUAAUAUAUAUUUGUGAAGGUAUUAGAAGGUAGAAUUAGCUCCAAUUGAUCAAAGGAAAAUUUGGAAAUAUAUUCAAGUAUUGAGUAAUUUAAUUCAGGUCUUAUAUUAUUAGGGACAAAAGGUUUCUUGUUUUAAUAGUGGUUAAAUUGAUUAUUUUGUAUCGUAUUUCAGGUGAUGACGAGGAGAGCAGAAAAGCCUACCGACCAUCUUAGGCUAUAGCUUGAUUUGUGAGUGGAUAAAACUUAUUUUCUAGAAAAUAGUAUUUAAUAAAUUUAAAUUAGAUCAGAAAAUUUAUUAUUUCCCAUAGUUGAUCUGAGAGUAUGAUUUUUAGAAUAAAGUGAAUUUAUAAUCUGUUGUUUUUAAAGUUAAAAUCAUUUCAGUUAAAUCUUUUGAUCAGCGUGUUAGAUGAAUGUUAAAUAUUUCAACAUAUUUAAAGUUAUUUUUUAAACUCACUAGAAGUACCUAGGUGAUUUUACCCUAGUCUGCACUUGUGUGAAUGUGUUUCUAUAGUGUAUGACUCCAUAUGGUUAUUUUACCCACUCUACACUGGUGUGAAUGUGGUUCCACAGUGUAUGAUCAGUUAUGGUGAUUUUACCCACUUUGCCCUAUUGUGAAUGUGUUUCCAUAGUGUAUGACUAGAAUAUCAGAAUUACAGAAUCGAAUAGCUUUGCCAUGUAUAUCGGUACUAACCAAUACUUGAGUAAGGUUAUUCCGAGUACAUUUUUGGUGUGAUUUUUAGUAGAUUGCAGUUCAUCAAUUUUCAGAUUACAGAAUUUAGUCAUUUCAGUUUAAAGAAUAAAUGUUUUAGCUUAUGAUAUAAUAAAAGAACUUUUUAUUGUAUACCAGUUUUCAGAAUGUUGGCAUAUCUGGAAAAUAUAUACUUACUUACGAAAUAUCCACUCACUAAGUUAUAGACUCAUAUUUUUAUCACAUUUUCUCUUAUCAUUUAGUAGCUGAGUUGAGCACCACUGGGCCAGUAGAUCUAUCGAGUUGAG
rnacentral:lncRNA from 1 species